CCACGGGUGGCAGCAGUGAGGAAUAUUGGUCAAUGGGCGGGAGCCUGAACCAGCCAAGUCGCGUGAGGGAAGACGGUCCUACGGAUUGUAAACCUCUUUUGCCGGGGAGCAACAGGGUCCUUGCGAGGGCCCGAUGAGAGUACCCGGAGAAAAAGCAUCGGCUAACUCCGUGCCAGCAGCCGCGGUAAUACGGAGGAUGCAAGCGUUAUCCGGAUUUAUUGGGUUUAAAGGGUGCGUAGGCGGGCUGUUAAGUCAGCGGUGAAAGUUUGUGGCUCAACCAUAAAAUUGCCGCUGAUACUGGUUGACUAGAGUAUAUUUGAGGUAGGCGGAAUGUGUGGUGUAGCGGUGAAAUGCAUAGAUAUCAAGCAGAACUCCGAUUGCGAAGGCAGCUUACUAAACUAUAACUGACACUGAAGCACGAAAGCGUGGGGAGCAAACAGGAUUAGAUACCCGUGUAGUC
rnacentral:rRNA from 1 species